rnacentral:rRNA from 1 species
AGCAGCCGCGGUAAUUCCAGCUCCAAUAGCGUAUAUUAAAGUUGUUGCAGUUAAAAAGCUCGUAGUUGAAUUUCGGGAUUGACGUGAUGGUCAUGCCUUAAGGGGUAUGAACUGUUACUGUUGAUUUCUCACCUUCUGGAGAAACUUGAUGUCCUUUAUUGGGUGUCUUGCGGAUCCAGGACCUUUACCUUGAAAAAAUUAGAGUGUUUAAAGCAGGCAUUUUUGCUCGAAUACAUUAGCAUGGAAUAAUAGAAUAGGACGGCAUGGUUCUAUUUUGUUGGUUUCUAGGGUCACCGUAAUGAUUAAUAGGGAUAGUUGGGGGCAUUAGUAUUCAAUUGUCAGAGGUGAAAUUCUUGGAUUUAUUGAAGACUAACUACUGCGAAAGCAUUUGCCAAGGAUGUUUUCAUUAAUCAAGAACGAAAGUUAGGGGAUCGAAGACGAUCAGAUACCGUCGUAGUCUUAACCAUAAACUAUGCCGACUAGGAAUCAGACGAUGUUAAUUUUUAAU